AUAAGCAGCCAGGUGCAAUAAGUAGUGUGAAUUGCAGAAUUCAGUGAAUCAUUGAAUCUUUG
rnacentral:rRNA from 1 species